CAAGCAUCUGUUUGGAAGUUUUCUUAUGAUGAAGAAUUUGUCAGUCAAAUUGAAAAGGAUUAUAUUGCUGAUGAGGCUCAUAGUCUUCCUCCCAUUCAAAAUGCUGUUGCUGAUCAUGUUGAUACUUCCAUGGAGUCCUUAUCUGCAUUUGGAGAAAAUGAUCCUGACAAGAGUUUGGCCAAUACCCCAUCAAAGAGUGUUUCUCA